rnacentral:lncRNA from 1 species
GGAUGGAACAAAGCUGGUGGUUUCAUUUUAAAUCAGGAUAAAAAUAUGUGGCUUAGUUCUCAUUUCCACUUCUCAAAAGUGUUAUACAAGAAACUGACUCUGGAUCUCAGAAGAUCCAAGUUUUGAGAAGCCAAAAUAACUUCCCAGUGUUUCCAUUAUGUAAUCUGUGUGUCUUGUGAACAAUAUUCUACAUAGAAUGCUCUACCCUGAAGCAGGUAUUUCCUAGAGGAAAAUGACUUACAGAAUAUCGAUGAGGCAUCCUUAGACUCUGUAGCCCUGAGCACGACAGAAAGAUGACAGCAAAAAAGAAAGAGCAGAGUUGGUUCCUGGGUGCAAGUUAAGUAUUUGAAUGAGGUGCUUGUCCUAAUCAAAUAAAUCCCCUUUCUUCAUGAAUACAGCCACCAAAUAAAUUCUCUUAGCCCCUGAUUACUAUGUUUGAAGCGCAGCACAAAGACUUUGGGAAAACACUCUCAAAAAGUCAAAAAUCUCUGCUAUUUUAAAAGUCAGGCUCCAUUUUUUUAAAAAUCAUUUUUGUGUACUUUUAAUUUUUACUUUAUCUAGAUGAGAUCAUGUUUGAAAUGUCACGUUGUAGAUGGGGGCUCAGGAUACAGGCAGUUCCCUGUAUUUAAACUAACACUACACCCAAGCUUCUUUAUCAGAUUACACAAGCAGAGAGAUUAACAACUGGUGUGAGAUUCUUCAGGAAGAUGGUUCACAUCCUCCGCUCCGACAACCAUGUCUUCUUUUCCAGAGAGUGGAAUUACAUGGUGGUCUCCUCAGAGUUUGGUGACAAUCAUGGUGGCAGGCCUAAAUCUUCCUUUGACGUCUUUUACAGAAUAAUUUUCAAAAGGGAUAAUUCUCUACUAAAAAUACUGGACCCUGACAAUAUUUAAUGUGAAGAGCAAUACCCCGUUAGGAAGCAAAUACAUUGGCUCGCAGGCUUGUUAAAAGUUAAUAAAGAAAUAGCUCAUUUUUAAAGCCAGGAGUUUAUGGUCUCUGCAUCAUCGAUUUAAUUUAAGCAUUGCUGAGACAAUCUUUAAUCUCCCCAUUUUGUAAUACCUUAUUUAUGGUGCAUCCUCCUUUUUUAAUUUGGGGGGAACGGUAGCCUGCCAGAGCCAACAGAUGAAAGUGUUAAAAGGAAGUCAAGCGGAAACAAAGGCCAUUACCCGCCAUAUUUCAGACAGGACUGGGGCACUUAGCCGAGGAGACACUCGGUUAUUAGAUUAAUUUCAAAAGACCUUUUACAAGUUGCUUAAUUCCAUUAAAAGAAAAAAAAGAAAAUAAAAAAAAUAAAAAAAACGUGGACCACAAACUCAAAUUUCCUUUCAAAUGAGGUUAUUUGACAAAUGAGAAAUGGACUCAGUGUUGUAGAAAAAGCAUCCCGCUGUAAUGAGAGCUUGGUCUUUCGUGUGAGGCUAUGCUAUUUAUGUAAAUAUAUCUGGCACACCUUCUGUAAGCUUUUAGUUUUCUAUGAUCUAUUAGUUUAGUGUUUAUUAAAAAUAAAAUAAAAUAAAAACCCGUAUGUAGAAUCACUCAGCACUCACGGGGAAUGCUUGUACAACAAACGUCCAAUAGAUCUGCUCUGAAGAAACAUAGGAACACUUCAAACACACUGUGCUGUUCUGUUUGCAAUUAUUCUUACUGCUUUGAAAGGAAGCUGCACCAGAAUAGGCCUUGUAAUAAGCGCUGUGUGCGUCUUCUCUAAUACCAAGCUAAGGCAGUUUGGCGUUCUCCUACUGUGACUUGUGAUUUCUAAACCAAGAAAAUAAAGGCUUUCUGGUAUCGACUGUACUUAAUUAAAAAAUAAUUCAAGUAUAAAUUGAAGCUUAUGCCACCCUUUGAAGACCCACUGGCUGGAGUCCUCUAUCUGUUUGUGUCUUCAGCAAGAAGAACGAAUGGGUGGACGGAAACAAUCGGGCUGGCUUCCAUCCACGCGCCCAGUUCGGCAACUCUUUGUAGCCUCAUGCAUUACAUGGCAAAGUUUUCUGUAUUUGAAGAAUGGGGUGACUCAGAGUGGCUGGGCCUUAUGUUGUAGUCAAAUGACAGAUAACAUACUCCUUGACAUGGCUUCUUUUAUUUGGUUUUCUUUUCUUAGUCUUAUAAAUUUGAAAAGAAUGCAACUUUAAAAAGUGAUUUCUCACAAAGAGUAAAAUAUGCCUUUUGCAAAUCAAUUUUUGUAACAUUAUUUAUAUGAUAUUACUUAAUAAACUGUUUUUUUUUCUAACUUGUUUUUUUU